CGCGUAGGCGGAUACUUAAGUUAGAGGUGAAAGCCCAGGGCUCAACCCUGGAACAGCCUUUAAUACUGGGUAUCUUGAGUUCGGGAGAGGUGAGUGGAACUCCGAGUGUAGAGGUGAAAUUCGUAGAUAUUCGGAAGAACACCAGUGGCGAAGGCGACUCACUGGCCCGAUACUGACGCUGAGGCGCGAAAGCGUGGGGAGCAAACAGGAUUAGAUACCCUGGUAGUCCACGCUGUAAACGAUGAGUGCUAGUUGUCGGCAUGCAUGCAUGUCGGUGACGCAGCUAACGCAUUAAGCACUCCGCCUGGGGAGUACGGUCGCAAGAUUAAA
rnacentral:rRNA from 1 species